rnacentral:rRNA from 1 species
GUGUCAGCAGCCGCGGUAAUACAGAGGUCCCGAGCGUUGUUCGGAUUCACUGGGCGUAAAGGGUGCGUAGGCGGCCGGGUAAGUCUGGUGUGAAAUCCCUGAGCUCAACUCAGGAACGGCACUGGAUACUAUCCGGCUCGAGGUGUGGAGGGGGGACUGGAAUUCUCGGUGUAGCAGUGAAAUGCGUAGAGAUCGAGAGGAACACCAGUGGCGAAAGCGAGUCCCUGGACACCACCUGACGCUGAGGCACGAAAGCUAGGGGAGCAAACAGGAUUAGAAACCCCAGUAGUCC